GGCACGAAUUGUAAUGCUGCAUUUAAUAAACUUUGGAAGAAUGAAUUUCCAACUAUUAGAUAUAGUUUGAUAUUUUGUAUUAUAAAAUUGUAGUAUUAUAGUUGAUUAUGAGUUUUGUUGUUGUACACUUAGUCUUCUGUAGUUAUUUACCUUCCUUGAGGUUAGUUUAGCUCACUCAGCUGCCCUGUAUUCCUCUGAUUAAAAAGGUUCCCAGUCUGAUCUUCGGAUUAAUGACUUUACGUGAACGCAACGCGUGACAGGUAACUCGUGGCGCGCGGACGCAGCUGAGGACAGCAAACCGCAGAGAAGGAACUGAAGUUAGUUUCCUGCAGCCGUGCAAACAAAGACAUUCUCUGUCAGAAGGAUAAUUUUUGGGACAGUUCUGUGAAAGGACACUUUGUGGAUAUUUUGAGGAUUAAAACGCUGCAGGAACUGUGACGCUGGAGUUGCAGACGGAGGACGCACAAGACGAGAGUGCAGCCAGAAAGAAGACCCAACCUGCUGCUGCCAUGGUCCUUAAUCCAGUAAAAGGAAACAGAAACACCUGAAUGAUCUCUCAGACCUGGCUCACGUCCACUAAGCCGGCAGUAAAUAAGGGUGCUGCACACAGUCCCUGGAGGGUAAACUGGCUCCCAAUAAAGGGAAGUGAAAGAAGCAGUUCAGACGAAGCAGGGAGUAAACACUCCAAGUAAAACCCCAGGAAGUUCCAGUGAGAGGCUUUUUGGAAAAGGAGCUCUCUGUUUGUAUAUGAAGCUUUCUUCAUCUCUUCAUCUAUCUCUCUGUCUUUGUCAAUCAUUACAGUACUUCUGUUUUAAAUCUGCACCCUGGUGUUUCUAUAAUAUUGUUUUGGACUAAGCUACAAUUUAAAUCCCUUUCUUUGCAGUAAAGACUCGACUGACUGUACUUUCAGAACGAUUUAAACUCACCUUGUUAAGUGCUGAGAAUAAAAAACCACCCUCUUCUUACUUCUGUUAGGCUGCUGGGUUUUUCCACCUCCUACCUCCACAUCAUUUUAUACCACUAACCCCCGACUGACUUUCCACUUCACAUAGGAACAAGCAGCACCUACUUCACAGUAAAGGUGCGUUGCAAUGAUACCCUCCCCUGACUCAAUCGAGCUUCUUCUUAAAUGUAGGCCACUUGACCUCGAUUGCUUCAGAUCUGAAUGUGACAGCCGCUGACUUUCCCCCUACGAUAAAACCUCCCAAAGUUCGUUGAUUUUUUUCACAACCUCCCGCUUAAAACAGAAAGUCUUUGCUGACACUGGCUUAUUAUUUUAAUACAUUUAAACUGACUAAGGUAACAAUUUCAUUUCUGAAAUCACAGCCUACUGUCUCAUGUUAGCUUCAUUAUUGUGAAAUGUUCAGUGUUUUCAGUCCCUUCACUUUUACACAACAUUAUGUAGAAUCUUGACAAUGUGCUCCCCAAUAUUGCAUAAAAGGUGUUUAGCAGAA